rnacentral:tRNA from 2 species
GGCCUGAUGGUCUAGUAGUAUGAUUCCUUGUUAGGGUUCGCCUUAUAUCGAGGAGGUCCCGGGUUCAAUUCCCGGUCAGGCCC